rnacentral:rRNA from 1 species
CUACGGGGGGCUGCAGUGAGGAAUAUUGCACAAUGGAGGAAACUCUGAUGCAGCAACGCCGCGUGGAGGAUGACGCAUUUCGGUGUGUAAACUCCUUUUAUAUGUCAAGAAAAUGACGGUAGCAUAUGAAUGAGCUCCGGCUAACUCCGUGCCAGCAGCCGCGGUAAUACGGAGGGAGCAAGCGUUACUCGGAAUCACUGGGCGUAAAGGACGCGUAGGCGGGAUAGAAAGUCAGGUGUGAAAUCCUAUGGCUCAACCAUAGAACUGCACUUGAAACUUCUAACCUAGAGUAUGGGAGGGGAAGAUGGAAUUAGUGGUGUAGGGGUAAAAUCCGUAGAUAUCACUAGGAAUACCAAAAGCGAAGGCGAUCUUCUGGAACAAUACUGACGCUAAGGCGUGAAAGCGUGGGGAGCAAACAGGAUUAGAUACCCGCGUAGUC